UACGAAGGGGGGCUAGCGUUGCUCGGAAUUACUGGGCGUAAAGGGCGCGUAGGCGGAUAGUUUAGUCAGAGGUAAAAGCCCAGGGCUCAACCUUGGAACUGCCUUUGAUACUGGCUAUCUUGAGUUCGGGAGAGGUGAGUGGAACUGCGAGUGUAGAGGUGAAAUUCGUAGAUAUUCGCAAGAACACCAGUGGCGAAGGCGGCUCACUGGCCCGAUACUGACGCUGAGGCACGAAAGCGUGGGGAGCAAACAGG
rnacentral:rRNA from 1 species